rnacentral:rRNA from 1 species
AUUGAACGCUGGCGGCAUGCUUUACACAUGCAAGUCGAACGGCAGCGCGGGGCAACCUGGCGGCGAGUGGCGAACGGGUGAGUAAUACAUCGGAACGUACCCAGAAGUGGGGGAUAACGUAGCGAAAGUUACGCUAAUACCGCAUACGUUCUACGGAAGAAAGUGGGGGACCUUCGGGCCUCAUGCUUUUGGAGCGGCCGAUGUCUGAUUAGCUAGUUGGUGAGGUAAAGGCUCACCAAGGCGACGAUCAGUAGCUGGUCUGAGAGGACGACCAGCCAAACUGGGACUGAGACACGGCCCAGACUCCUACGGGAGGCAGCAGUGGGGAAUUUUGGACAAUGGGCGCAAGCCUGAUCCAGCAAUGCCGCGUGAGUGAAGAAGGCCUUCGGGUUGUAAAGCUCUUUUGUCAGGGAAGAAACGGCUGGGGUUAAUACCUUCGGCUAAUGACGGUACCUGAAGAAUAAGCACCGGCUAACUACGUGCCAGCAGCCGCCGUAA